rnacentral:rRNA from 1 species
GAGUUUGACCCUUGCUCAGAACGAACGCUGGCGGCGCGCUUAACACAUGCUUGUCGAACGAGAAUUCUCUCUUCGGAGAGAUAGUAAAGUGGCGCACGGGUGAGUAAUAUGUGAGUAACCCGCCGAUGGGCGGGGGAUAACUCCGCGAAAGCGGGGCUAAUACCGCAUGGUAUCUUGAAGCGAAAGUCUUGAGAUGAAAGAUGGCCUCUAUUUAUAAGCUGUCGUUGAAGGAUGGUUCCGCCUCCCAUUAGCUAGUUGGUGGGGUAAUGGCCUACCAAGGCGACGAUGGGUAGCCGGCCUGAGAGGGUGUCCGGCCACACUGGGACUGAGAUACGGCCCAGACUCCUACGGGAGGCAGCAGUCGAGAAGCUUCCGCAAUGGGGGAAACCCUGACGGAGCGACGCCGCGUGAACGAAGAGGUCCUAUGGAUUGUAAAGUUCUGUCAGAUUGGGAAGAAAGUGCUGGGGUUAAUACCCUCAGUAUUUGACGGUACCAUCAGAGGAAGCACCGGCUAACUCCGUGCCAGCAGCCGCGGUAAUACGGAGGGUGCAAGCGUUGUUCGGAUUCACUGGGUAUAAAGGGUGCGCAGGCGGCCUGAUGUGUCAGAUGUGAAAUCCCAGGGCUUAACCUUGGAAUUGCAUUUGAAACUGUACGACUUGAGGACGGGAGGGGUAGGUGGAAUUCCCGGUGUAGCGGUGAAAUGCGUAGAUAUCUGGAGGAACACCGGUGGCGAAGGCGGCCUACUGGACUGUCCCUGACGCUGAGGAACGAAAGCGUGGGUAGCAAACAGGAUUAGAUACCCUGGUAGUCCACGCCCUAAACGAUGAAUGCUAAGUGCUGGGGGUAUUGAUCCCCUCGGUGCCGCACCUAACGCGUUAAGCAUACCGCCUGGGGAGUACGAUCGCAAGGUUGAAACUCAAAGGAAUUGACGGGGGCCCGCACAAGCGGUGGAGCAUGUGGUUUAAUUCGACGCAACGCGAAGAACCUUACCUGGGCUUGACAUGUAGGUAGUAUUGAACCGAAAGGGGAUAGAUCCCGUAAGGGAAGCCUGCACAGGUGCUGCAUGGCUGUCGUCAGCUCGUGCCGUGAGGUGUCGGGUUAAGUCCCGUAACGAGCGCAACCCCUAUCUUCUGUUUGCUACCAGAUCAUGCUGAGCACUCUGAAGAAACUGCCUCGGAUAACGAGGAGGAAGGUGGGGACGACGUCAAGUCAUCAUGGCCCUUAUGCCCAGGGCUACACACGUGCUACAAUGGCCGGUACAGAGGGUCGCAAUCCCGUAAGGAGGAGCCAAUCCCAGAAAGCCGGUCUUAGUUCGGAUCGAAGUCUGCAACUCGACUUCGUGAAGUUGGAUUCGCUAGUAAUCGCGCAUCAGCAUGGCGCGGUGAAUACGUUCCCGGGCCUUGUACACACCGCCCGUCACACCACGAAAGUCAGUUGUACCAGAAGUUGUUGAGCCAACCCGCAAGGGGAGCAGGCACCCAAGGUAUGGCUGGUGAUUGGGGUGAAGUCGUAACAAGGUAACC